rnacentral:rRNA from 1 species
UACGUAGGGGGCAAGCGUUGUUCGGAUUCAUUGGGCGUAAAGGGUGCGUAGGUGGCGCCAUAAGUCGGGUGUGAAAUCUCGGGGCUUAACUCCGAAACUGCAUUCGAUACUGUGGUGCUUGAGGACUGGAGAGGAGACUGGAAUUCAUGGUGUAGCAGUGAAAUGCGUAGAGAUCAUGAGGAAGACCAGUGGCGAAGGCGGGUCUCUGGACAGUUCCUGACACUGAGGCACGAAGGCCAGGGAGCAAACGGG